CCUUCGACACCUCCGGAGCUGCAGCUUGGCCGCCACCACUCCGCCGCAGCUUGGGGGCAAUACCGCGGGAGGGGUCGUGCCAGCGGGCGCUCCGUGAUGGACGCGAGCAUGGGCCGUUGUCACCGCCUGCUGCUCUCCUCUGCUGCACCAGGAAUGCGAGCUAGGGUCUCCGUCGUCGUUCCUCCAUGAGGCCGGGAAAGCCAACACCGCCGCAGACGGUGUGGGGCUACCCGCCAGCGCUGGUAGCUUCCAACGAGCAUGUGAUGUGCCUGGUCCGCAACGGUCAUGCCCCGCGCUUGCUGCCAAGGUCAAGCAGGAUGAUAUCUCUGUUGUUCUCAUGACAUUUGGGAUGCUUGAAACUUUAUUACCUUUUGAGCGAAGAGCCGCCUUUGUUUUCAGAUACUACCUGCGCAAAAAAUCCCUACCAAGCGUUUGUAGAGAAGCAUAUGGGAGCUAAGAUAGUUAUGAAAAAAGAGACUUUGUUAUUUAUUUAGUACUGAAAUCCAUAACAUGGAUGCUAGAAUCUUUUUUUUGUAUAUAAUUGAACAAAGUGAUUUUUUUCCAGAUCAUAAAUUGCUUGGAAAAAUGUAACAUCGAUGCUAGAAUCCCGACGAGACUAUGGCUGGUGAUGUAGAUUAUUUUGUAUGCUGAUGGUGCCGUGGCGGCUGCAUGGCGGAGGGCUGCACGCUCGACUUUGACAUCGCCGUCCGCAUAUAUGGUGGCGGGCGGGCGGAACCUCUUCGCACUGCUCCCGGAGGCGUCAAGGGCGUCAAGCCCUCUGUCGUGAUCGAAUCGGGCUCCCAGUGUUUCUUUGGAACACUGGAUUCCACUACCACGUGCAAUCAUUUAUUAGUUAUUCCAAUAGGUCACGGACUUUCCACGCGCUCAGACAGCAACAUUCUUUAUCCAAUGGGUGAUGUGAUUUUUUAUCCAUCUGAAUAUUGUGUUAUCAUUUGUUUUAAUUCAAGUGAUAUUACACAAGUAGCUUGCUGGGUAUAUUUUACAAUAGUUACCUUUGGAAAUUUCUUAGAGAUUAUAGAUGGGACAGAGACAACAUUGCAGAUACGUCGCAGCUGGGCACCAUGAUCAUUGCCCCCAUACCUCCUUUUUAUGUUAUGAAGAUAUACAUGUAGGUUUCCUUUUUGGUAAUUUUUGGAGAUCAUAAAUGAUAUUAAUAUUAGAGAAAAGUAUAUUUUUCGUCCCUCAACUCUUGGCAGAGUCUAAGAUUUUGUCCCUCGACUUCGAAACCAGAAAACUUGCACCUCCAACUACUAAAACCGAACAAGGUUCAUCCCUGGACACGGUUUUGACCGGUUUUUGUGCUGACUUUCGCCGGUUUUGAUCCUGUUUUGACUUUUGAGUCAAAUUCACGUACUUUCUUCAAGUCCGUUUAUUUUUUCAGGUCCGCAUACUUUCUACAAAAGUUCAUGAAUUUGAAAGCAGUGCACGAACUUGAAAAAAGUACACGCAUUUGAGAAAAAUACUUGAACUAGAAAAAAGUAUGCGAAUUUGGAAAAUUGCGUGAACUUGAUAAAGUACGUAGAUUUGAAAAUAGUGCGAAUUUCAAAAGGAUAUGUGAAUUUGAAAUUUUUACGUGAACAUGAAAAAGUACAAAUAUUUAAAAAAUGUACAUGAAUUUCAAAAGAUUCACAGAUUCAAAAAAUAUACGCGUAUUUAAGUCAGCACCGGUCAAACCGGGGUGAGUUAGCACCAAAACCACUCAAAGCUGAGACCAGGGAUGAACCUUGUCCGGUUUCAGUAGUUGAGGAUGCAAGUUGUCCAGUUUCGAAGUUAAGGGAUCAAAUCUAGACUCCGCCAAGAAUUGACCGGUUGAGCUGCAAUUUGCAAGGUUUCUUGUGUCUGUGUGUACGAACAGAUCGAAUCAAAUUGAAGUGACUUUGAUUAAUUUCCUUUUCAAAGUUAUUGUUGGGCCAGCUAUUAACCUCUAUAAAACAUUUAUCUUCACUUCUCUUUUGCUGCCAGGAAAUCUGGUGCAAGCCCCACUACAGUUUUAUAUAAAGAUGUUGGAGGCAGCAUCGGAAGAGACAAGUCUGCGGGAAUCUUGUCCAAACUCCACAUCGCUGUCACCGAACAAAGUGGGAGGUGCAAUUGAAAGAGACCAGCCAGAUUCUUCUUCCGGGCAAAACAAUGUGAUGGAUGGUCUAAAAGAUUAUCUGGAUGAAUUCAUCUCCAGGGUAAAAGAAGCCAGGCAAUGUGCAUGACGUUUGAUUGGAAAUAAUGUUACCUUGAAAAUGUACGAGUGCUUUGUUGGCAUCUGACAUUGCAGAAUCAAACAUUGAUGCAUACCUUUGUAAAUUCUCUUGGGGAGAAAAAGUAUAAUUUGCAAGUUGCAACAUUGAUCCCAAAAUACAUGGUGUUCACACAUACCUAUUUUAUGUAGUUUGUGAUAAACCAAAAUGUUCAGUCUU